rnacentral:lncRNA from 1 species
GGAUUUUAAUCCGUAUAUAACAGACAUUAUAUACGGAUGGUUUAUACGGAUCUGGGAAAUCGGCUUACAUACGGAAAAUCCGUAUAUAAUGUGCGAAAAACUUUAUAUACGGAUUUUCUGUAUAUAAUAUCCGCGAGUAAUGAAUAAUUAAAAAAUAAAAGUUAAUAUUAAAUCUGGUUAAAAGACUCUUCUCUCACUUUUCUCACUCCCUCCCUCGAACUAACUUUGUUUCUGCAUUGCCUCUUUCUCGGCCUCCCUCGAACUAACGCCAUUUGGUCAUUCUCACUCACUGCCAUCAUCAUUCUCACUCACUACAACCAUCAUUCUCACUCACUGCAACCAUUAUUCUGGAGGCUUCUUCUCUUUCGUCGACCCUUCUUCUCGUUCUUGUGUUGUCACCCUCGUCGAGCCUUCUUCUCCUUCGCCGACCGUUCUUGUCUGUGCUACUAUUCUCCUCAAUCGUGAAUUCUACCACCUCCGUUAUAAUUUGUUGCUAGUUCUUGUCUGUAGUUGUCGUUUUCCAUGAGUGGAACNNGAGUUGUGCCCCUACUGGAACCCUAGUUGUGUGGUAGUGGAACCCUAGUUGUUGCGGAGUUCUUGAAUUGGUAAGUCAUGUUAAUUAAUUUCUAAAAACGUUAAUUUCAGAAACCCUAAUCUCAUUUUUUUGACUUCCAUACAUAUCCUUAAGUGGUUGAUCAGUCUGGGAUAUCUCAUUGGGAAGGCUUAAGUGUUNUAGAGUCAAGCAAAGGAUCAAUUGAAGUAAGGUAUGUUUACUGGUGACUUUUCCCCUAUCUUGUUUUGUUUGUUCCAUGUGUGUAUGGUGCGAUUGUCCUGUCUAUGGUGUGAUUGCUUUCCAGUCCUAAUUUCAAACAAAUCUCUAGAUGAUUUUUAUAGUUCCUUUUUUUUUAAUGUUAAAAUUCAUCACGACAGAUUGUUUUCUAGUGUCCACCUCCAGUGGUGUUUUUAUGGUGUAUUCAUAUCAUGACAAAGUUUUAAAUUCAAGAUACUUGAACCAACGAGCUUUAGAAUCCCGUCUUCUUUUCAGAAUAUGAAAUUAAGCUAUUGGAUUCAGUGUACAGCUUCUACUUUUCAGAUAUGCCUCCCAAUAACAGUAGUACAACUUGAACCUGAGGAAAACAUCGCAGGAUUUUCAUCAAUGAAUCAAUGUUGGUAGAAGUUCCUAACUUGGUCAAUAAU